GUUUACAUUUUCUCUUUCUCUCCAAGAAUGCCAAUAAUUCAUAGGUUUGAUUGCUUUACAUAAUCCCAUAUUUCUCAAGACUUUAUUUUAACAAAUUAUUAUUAUUAUUAUUAUUAUUAUUUGUUGUUGUUGGACUGGGUUAGUUUGAAGGUCUGGUGUUCCAUCUCUGAAACACUUUCUUUUGCUUAUUCUAGUCUACUGAUAAAGCUUUCAAUUGUAUUUUGAAAUUCCUUAAGUGAGUUUUUCAAUUCCAGAAGCCCUGACUGA
rnacentral:lncRNA from 1 species